UGAGCUACUCAUGUCGAUAGACCAGGAGCUUGCCCUGGGGUUACUCGCGUCUCGGCUUUCUGAAACGUUUUGAUUCAUGACUCUGCGAAAAAGACCGUCACACGUUCUCCAACAUCAAACACGGCGACUGGACACAGAAGACGGAGCCACAAACGAAAUAGCGCGCAGGGGUUCGGCAGUGCUCAGCGAAAUUCUUCAUAAGGUUUCUCAAACACAACUCCUUAUAUUCACCUAUUCAAAUGAGUUUCUACCGAUGUUUCUUCACUAUUUUUUUCCUUUCCGCUCGUUUCUGGCCCGAGUCGAAUGCAAAAAAGAAAAAAAUAAA